UGUCAUAGUAUAAUUUGGACCUUUCUUUG
rnacentral:sRNA from 1 species